CAUGCUGAUGUAAUAUUUUUGUGAGUAGUUAUUUUAACUAUUAUUAAGAGUUGAAGUGGAAUACUCACUACAACAAAAAACGGUUUAUAGCGACACUUUUAAACGUAGGUACAUGUCAAAAAAGUGCUGCUAGCUAAAAUUACCGACACUUUUAAAAAGUGUUGCUAUAUGUGGGGUCGCUAGGUAUAUAGUGACAGUUAAAGAGUGUCGCUAUAACCUAAAAGAGUGCUGCUAAUUUACCAACACUUAUUUAAGCAUUUAGCAACCGCCGAAACUCUAUCUCGUUGGCUGCGGUGGCGGAGGAGGACGACAGGAAAGGCUCUUCGUCUAGAAUUUCAGUGGAUUGAGUGAAGAGAGAAGAAAAGAUGGUAAUUGAUUUUUCUUUUUUUUUUCUCUUUUCUGUUUGUAAUCGGGCCAAAUGGACUGGAUGUGGUGGGUUGAGUAGAGUAAUCUUUUAUUUUUGGUUGGAUUGGGCUUUAUAUUUAGGCAUUAGUAGAUAUUUUUUUUAAGUUUUAGGAUAAAUGGGACACUCACUCAAAAGUGUCCCAAACAUGUGUCCCUAUAACCUAAUUCUGUUAUAAUGACCAUUAAUAAUAUUUAGGCACUUUUGCUAUUAAUUUUUUGACCGUUAAAUUUACACUUUAAUCAAAUACAUCUUUAGAUCAUACGAUUGAACCAACCACUCAUUCAACCUUAGGGAGACCACCACUAAACUCUAGUAGGGGACCACUAUCAUUCUAAUUCUAUAAUUUUUUAUUUAAGGAUUAAAAAUUCGAUAGUAAAAGAGUCUAAAUACUAUUAAAUAGUAUUCCAACCUAAUUCCUAUUAUUAAUUACCAUUUUGCUGGUUUACAACUUAUAGUUAUUCUUUUUUUGUUAACUACAUCAGCCAUCCAAUCAAAAUCUUCCAUAUUGUGUUGAUAACUCUUUCAAAUUUGUAUCUUAUUUGAAACCCGAAUUAUUUGAAACUCAAAUUUCGAAAUGCUCCAUAUUAUAAGGACUGAAAAACACUACAAGAAAAGAUAAUAUUAGUGACAAAAAUAAGGUAGCGAUAAAAUAUGUCGCCACUAUAUAGUUAUCUAUGGUAGUGAUAAAACCAAUUACCACCGACUGAUUAAUUUAAAGUGGCGAUACUACUUUCGGCACUAAAUGACUAUUUUGUCGCCACUAUAUAGUUACCUACGGUGGCGAUAAAACAAAUUCCACCAAUUAAUUAGAUUAAAGUGGCAAUAUUAUUUUCGCCACUAAAUAAUUAUUUUGUCGCCAUUAUAUUGUUACCUACGGUUGCGAUAAAAAAAAAUUGCCAUCAAUUAAUUAACUUAAAGUGGCAAUACUAUUAUCACCACUAAAUAACUAUUUUUUGCCACUAUAUAUUUAUUUAUGGUGGCGAUAAAAAAAAUCGCCACCUAUUAAAGUAAUAAUAUUACUUUUUCUACUAAAUUACUAGUUGAUCGCCACUAUAAGGUUAUAUAUAGGGCGCGUUUGGUUCGAAGUCGGAAUCGGAAUCAAAAUCAAAAUCGAAAUAAAUUGGAAUCGGAAUCGGAAUCGGAAUGACUCUUACCUAAUUCUGUUUGGUUCGUUACCUGAAUCGGAAUCGAAAUAAAUCAUUUUCAUUGUCGGUGUUUCGUUUACAUAGAUAUAAAAAAGUAAUCAAAUUAAUAUACUAACUUUAUCUUUAUAAUAUAUUAAUAUAAAUUCAAAUUGAAAAUUAAAAAUUAAAAAUUUACAUCAAAAUUUUGAAAUAAUGUCAAAUUUUUAAAUCUAUUUUUUUAAAAAAAUUAAACUCUGAAGUUGAGUGGAUAAUUUAAAAUAUAAAAUUAAAUUUCGAUUUAUUCAAAUUCAAAUUUCAAAUUACAAUUUAAAUUUAAUUUGAAUUCAUAAAUUUAAUUUAAGUUUUAAAUAAAAUUUGAAUAAAAUUUUAUAUAAAUUAAAAAUUUAAUUUAAAUUCAAAUUCAUAAGUUAGAUUUGAAAUACUUAAUUAAAUUUUAAUUUUUAAUUCAAAUUCAAAUUAAAAUUAUAAAUUAUAAAUUUGAUUUCUAAAUUUAAACUCAUAUUUUAAUUAACAAAUUAAAAAAAAAUUUAAUCUGAAUAAAUAUCCAUUCCAUCCGAAUUCAACUUCCAAUCCGGCCUCUUAGGCCGGAUUGGAAAAAGAGGUGAUUGGGGGAUUCCCAUUCCACCCAGGAGUUGAAAUCGGAAUGGUACUCCCGCGUACCAAACACUCACAAAUGGAUUUGUUUAUUCUGAUUCCGACUCCAGGAUGAAAUAGAAGCGAACCAAACACGCCCACAGUAGCGAUAAAAAAAAUUGUCACUUAUUAAUUAACUUAAAAUGUAAUUAUUAUUUUCAUCACUAAAUGUCUAUUUUGUCACCCCUAUAUAAUCACAUAUGGUGAUGAAAAAAGU
rnacentral:lncRNA from 1 species